rnacentral:rRNA from 1 species
CCUGCCCAAGAGAUCGGGAUAACACCUGGAAACAGAUGCUAAUACCGGAUAACAACAGAUGAUGCCUAUCAACUGUUUAAAAGAUGGUUCUGCUAUCACUCUUGGAUGGACCUGCGGUGCAUUAGCUAGUUGGUAGGGUAACGGCCUACCAAAGGCGAUGAUGCAUAGCCGAGUUGAGAGGCUGAUCGGCCACAUUGGGACUGAGACACGGCCCAAACUCCUACGGGAGGCAGCAGAC